ACCGGAAAAUGGAAGACUAAUCUAAGGGGUGUUGGAAGAGUUAAUGGAUUAUUUGUUUUUAACGUCUCAUCUCAGUUUGAGGAGCUCAAUCAGUACAUACCCAGAUAGAAAACCAGGAAGUGCAGUUCCUGAAUUUGUAAAAUUGCAUAAAGGUCCUUCAAAAUCCAGAUAUUUACCACAGAGGUAUUGUAUGGCCACUACAAAUAGGGAGGAGUUGAACGGGAUAGAAGAAGGCGAUGGUGUUAUAAUUGUGGAUCAUGGGUCCCGCAGAAAAGAGUCUAAUCUUAUGCUAAAUGAAUUUGUAGCAAUGUUUAGGCAGAGAACCAAAUACCCCAUUGUGGAGCCUGCACACAUGGAGCUAGCAGAACCAUCGAUCAGAGAUGCAUUUAAUUUGUGUGUUCAACGAGGAGCACGUCGAGUAAUUGUGAGCCCGUUUUUCCUUUCUCCUGGACGACACUGGAACCAGGAUAUUCCUUCUUUAACGGCUGAAGCUGCAAAAGAACACCCAGGAGUAUCAUAUAUCAUUACAGCACCUCUUGGCCUUCAUGAGUUACUUGUCCAUAUUUUCUAGGUUCUUUUUGUGAUGAAUUGAAGGAGUAGGGCUUCUAAUUAAGUUGUUCUCAGCUUUUUGGAACCAAGCUAACUGAUCAGAUAACCUUUUGCAGAGGAGCACACAGUUCUGCGGCGUGGUGUUUAGGGGUUUAUUGGAUAUAGUUGCUGAAGGUUUGAGUAGCUUUGAGGCUGCCAUGAGAUGGAGCUGAGGAUCGUCUUCUAGCUCUGGUAAAUAGAUGUCUCCUUGAGUCUGUUAGUACAAGCGAAGGUUCAUUCUUGUAGUGUUUCUUAUCUUUAACAGACUGGUCUGGUCUCUCCCGCAGGUUAGUUUUACAGCUUUUUACCUACUUCUGACUUAAACACUGUAGUUUUUCAUUUUACUUUCUACAAAUACCCGGUAAUAUUGUAUAACAUAUUAAACUUUUUUUUUAUUUUGCACUUAAGUUAUUUUUAACGGAAAAUGGUCAAAUAUAUCCCUUUACUAUUGGAUAUUGUUUAAAGUUAUCCUCCGUUAUACUAUUCGAUCUAAUAUACCCUUGCCGUCUAAUUAUUGAUCAAAUAUACCCUUAAAUUGACAGAAGGGCCACGUGGAGGGCUUCUAAGCCAUCUUAUGCCCCAACCCAUUACCCAUGCUCAAUACCCGAUACCCAAAACUUAACCUGACCCUUCCCAACAGCUAAAUAACUGAACAAAUUCCUUUGCUCGAAAACUCCCAAAAAUAGAAAUAUGCUCUUUGUUUUUUGACGUUCUUAAUAAACGACUUAGAAUUCCUUUUUUGAAAGUGCAAAUCUGAGUUCAAAUUUCUGAAAAUCGUUGAAUAUUAUUGUAGAAUAUAAUUAUUGGGAGCUGAAAUUCGUGAUUGAACAUUAUUGGAGAAAAGAAAGAAAAAAAAGGUGUUUCGAUCACCAUUGACUCAACUUUGAGCUUGGUUCAGAACUUAGAUCUGAAGUUUUUAAAUCAAAAUCGACUGGAUGAGUUUUAAAUCUAUUGUAAAAGCUUGAUAGAACCUGAAUUCAAAAUCUGAAUGCAUUUGGAUUUGAUUUGACAAUAACUUGAUCGAAAAUUUUUGAAGCCUAAUCUGUGGAGAAGAUGCACUGGGUUUCUUGACCUCAUCUCUUAUUGCUCAAAUUGUUUGUUGGGUCUUGUUCGUAUCAUUAUACAGAAAAGAAAUUCGUGAUUGAACAUUAUUGGAGAAAAGAAAGAAAAAAAAAGGUGUUUCGAUCACCAUUGACUCAACUUUGAGCUUGGUUCAGAACUUAGAUCUGAAGUUUUUAAAUCAAAAUCGACUGGAUGAGUUUUAAAUCUAUUGUAAAAGCUUGAUAGAACCUGAAUUCAAAAUCUGAAUGCAUUUGGAUUUGAUUUGACAAUAACUUGAUCGAAAAUUUUUGAAGCCUAAUCUGUGGAGAAGAUGCACUGGGUUUCUUGACCUCAUCUCUUAUUACUCAAAUUGUUUGUUGGGUCUUGUUCGUAUCAUUGUACAGAAAAGAAAUUCGUGAUUGAACAUUAUUGGAGAAAAGAAAGAAAAAAAAAGGUGUUUCGAUCACCAUUGACUCAACUUUGAGCUUGGUUCAGAACUUAGAUCUGAAGUUUUUAAAUCAAAAUCGACUGGAUGAGUUUUAAAUCUAUUGUAAAAGCUUGAUAGAACCUGAAUUCAAAAUCUAAAUGCAUUUGGAUUUGAUUUGACAAUAACUUGAUCGAAAAUUUUUGAAGCCUAAUAUGUGGAGAAGAUGCACUGGGUUUCUUGACCUCAUCUCUUAUUGCUCAAAUUGUUUGUUGGGUCUUGUUCGUAUCAUUGUACAGAAGUUGUGGGUAAAAUCUGAGUGCAUUUUGUGAAGUUUUGGUUAAGUUAGAUCGAACAAAUUAGAGUUGACUCCGCGAAGAAGACAACCUGAGCUUCCUUGAAUUAAUCACUGGGCUUUGUUCGAAUUUUGGUUGAGAAUCUUUGGUUACAAAUUGAGAUCAAUUGGAGAAGCUUAGAUUGAGCUCGGAAGCAAUAGUUCCAAGAAUUUGCUGCUCUCGAAGAACCCGUAACUCUCCAUUCAUGCUAGCUAUAGCACUAUUAGCUUGUUGAAUAUUCGCAUACUUAACAAAUUCAUAACCUUUACUCAGACCACUUAGAAUGUCCUUUGUAACUUUAGCCAUCACAAUGAUACCAAAAAGAGAGAAUAAAUUGAUCAAACCACCAUCAUCAAGAGCAUGUGGCAAAUAAUUGAUGUACAAGUUUGUCUCGUCAAACUCCUUUGGCUUGAUCACAAUUGAACCUAACCCAGAGAGAGUUUAGUUCUUUAAGUGUUGAGAAGGAUCGGGUUAUGGGUUAGGGGUAACAGGGCAUAAAAUGGAUCAGAAGCCCUCCACGUGGCCUCUUCGUCAAAUUAAGGGUAUAUUUGAUUAAUAGUUAGACGGUAGGGAUAUAUUCGAUCGAAUAGCAUAACGGAGGAUAACUUUAAACAAUAUUCAAUAGUAGAGGGAUAUAUUUGACACUUUUCCGUAUUUUUAAUGAUUAGAUAAAUAUCUCACUUGGUUACCUCAUGCAACUGACUGGUUCAAAUAUGUUUAUCAAGAGAGUUUAAAGAAGAAAAAGAAAGCUCGUUAGAGUGUAAGGGGGGUAAAGUGAUCGAUCAUCGAAGUGGAUGCAUUACCUUAUGUCCAGUAUGCUAUAAGUUUCUGUCAUAGAAGAUGAAAGUGCCCCGUUUUGGAAAUGCUCGACAAGUGUAGAUAUUUCAUAAUCUUUUGGAUAUAUUGUCAAGCUUUAUCACUCAUUGAAUUAAAUCACUUGACAAUGUCGUCUUUUUUUUUUCCCCUUUAAUUCUGCUAAACGCUUGAAAGUUUCAGGUAGCAGGGAUGAGAGGUAAACCUUUCUGGUAGCCUUAUAGCUGUUAUUUAUGAAAUUUGAAACCAAAUGAAAAAGAAAAAGGAAGGUAUAGUUUGGUAGGUGCAUGUCCAUACUUUCUUGUCAUUAUUUUCGUAGAAAGUGACGGAGUCCUUGUGCUAAAAAAAGGACAAAUUUAUUGGUCACAAUUUUUUUUUGGUGGACAGUUCACUCAAAGGUCCACUUUGUCAACCAAACCAGCAAAAUGAUACCUGCAGUUGGAGAAAGAACAGUAUACUUUGCUAGAAAUAUCCAAAGUAGAAGUUUGAGAAGCUCAUAGUUUGUGAUUUGCUUUGCUAUGAAUAAGAUCCGCUAUCUAUUUGAUGUGGAACAAUGUCAAAAUCUGUUGGUAAAUGACAAUGAAAAGGUUUUGUAUUACUGCAUUCAUGUGAAUCUAUAACCUUGUAUCUGAAGAGUACUAAUUAUUUGAUAUACAUCUUCCC